rnacentral:rRNA from 1 species
CUCCUGGAAGAUGACCAGGUUGAUAGGCCAGAUGUGUAAGGGCAGUGAUGCUUUUAGCUGACUGGUACUAAUAAGUCGUGAGGCUUGACCAU